CCCAACACGAACACUGUCUGAAAGCGUGCAGUCUGAGUUGAUUGAAUGCAAUCAGUUAAAACUUUCAACAAUGGAUCUCUUGGUUCCGGCAUCGAUGAAGAACGCAGCGAAAUGCGAUAACUAAUGUGAAUUGCAGAAUUCAGUGAAUCAUCGAGUCUUUGAACGCACAUUGCGCCCCCUGGUAUUCCGGGGGGCAUGCCUGUCCGAGCGUCAUUGCUGCCCUCAAGCCCGGCUUGUGUGUUGGGUCGCCGUCCCCCUCUCCGGGGGGACGGGCCCGAAAGGCAGCGGCGGCACCGCGUCCGAUCCUCGAGCGUAUGGGGCUUUGUCACAUGCUCUGUAGGAUUGGCCGGCGCCUGCCGACGUUUUCCAACCAUUUUUCCAGGUGACCUCGAUCAGGUAGGAUGCAGUCCCGUG
rnacentral:rRNA from 1 species